rnacentral:rRNA from 1 species
AGUUUGAUCCUGGCUCAGGAUGAACGCUAGCUACAGGCUUAACACAUGCAAGUCGAGGGGAAACGAUAGAGAAAGCUUGCUUUUUCUAGGCGUCGACCGGCGCACGGGUGAGUAACGCGUAUCCAACCUGCCCAUCACUUGAGGAUAACCUUGCGAAAGUAAGACUAAUACCCAAUGACGUCUCUAGAAGACAUCUGAAAGAGAUUAAAGAUUUAUCGGUGAUGGAUGGGGAUGCGUCUGAUUAGCUUGUUGGCGGGGUAACGGCCCACCAAGGCGACGAUCAGUAGGGGUUCUGAGAGGAAGGUCCCCCACAUUGGAACUGAGACACGGUCCAAACUCCUACGGGAGGCAGCAGUGAGGAAUAUUGGUCAAUGGACGAGAGUCUGAACCAGCCAAGUAGCGUGCAGGAUGACGGCCCUAUGGGUUGUAAACUGCUUUUAUAAGGGAAUAAAGUGAGAGUCGUGACUCUUUUUGCAUGUACCUUAUGAAUAAGGACCGGCUAAUUCCGUGCCAGCAGCCGCGGUAAUACGGAAGGUCCGGGCGUUAUCCGGAUUUAUUGGGUUUAAAGGGAGCGUAGGCCGGAGAUUAAGCGUGUUGUGAAAUGUAGACGCUCAACGUCUGCACUGCAGCGCGAACUGGUUUCCUUGAGUACGCACAAAGUGGGCGGAAUUCGUGGUGUAGCGGUGAAAUGCUUAGAUAUCACGAAGAACUCCGAUUGCGAAGGCAGCUCACUGGAGCGCAACUGACGCUGAAGCUCGAAAGUGCGGGUAUCGAACAGGAUUAGAUACCCUGGUAGUCCUUUCUGAUGAAAGAUGGAUGCCCGCUGUUGGUCUGAAUAGGUCAGCGGCCAAGCGAAAGCAU